CUUAUCGCGAAAAUUGGUUGGUGAGAAAAAAAAUAAAACACAACAAAAAUAACCUCUCGGAUCGAACAGUGAAUCGAGUGAAAACGUCGCACGAGAAUAAAAAUGUUUCGACGCACGGAAUUUGACAGAUUGUCAAAAUGGAAUUUCGUGAUGAGAACGAGAUCCGAGAAAUAACGUCAACAGGCAAUGUGGAGCGAUGAAAAGGCCCCGUGGAAUUAAACGCGGGGGGAAGGUCGAGAGGCGGUGGGAGCGAGGAAGUCAUCCCAGAGAGGGGCGAAGAGGAGAGAGGGAAAAAACGAUGCGAGAUUCAUGCUACGAGAACCGAUCUAGGGAAUAACGAAUAACUCUCGACAAAAGAGUCCUCGUUUCGCCGGAAAACCACACUACAUUGUUUCAAUUGCCACUUUGAAAAAAGCCUCACAGUUCGAACUCACGAAUUUAUUUGAAUUAUCAACGAGGAUCCGGAGAAUCAUGAAAAAGUGAAAUGAAAUUUCUAAACCACACAAAAUACCAUUCAAACGCCACAAGAAUGCCCGAGAAAUAAUUCGUUGGAAAAAAUAAAGUGAAAAAUGACUGAUUUUUCGAACUGGGAA